UCAAAACUAGGAUUGUCUAUGC
rnacentral:miRNA from 1 species